UGUAUGGAGUGAUUGUUAAUUGGAGUGCUUUGGGGUGUCCCUCAUGCCUCUGGGCACAUAGAGAGCUGUUUUCUCUCCUACUCUGCUGGACUGUUACAACCAUUGUCUCCGUUUCUCAGCAGGUUUUAUGUUGUUUUACUGUUUCAUUCCCUCAUGGUGAAUAUCAGGUAUUGUACUGUCUCUGUGCCACCUGUGCGCAUAUGAUGUACCAUGAUACUCUGUUGCUUCGCCUGGCUACAAUCACUGCUGCCAUGAUCUCUGAAAAGUCCGGGUCUGACGCUUCUUAUAAAUGUGCUUCAGUUACCACCAACUCUCUGAAGACGUUAAUAAUGUCACUCUAACUGCGUGUGGCUAAUAGGCUGGUGUUUGUGAAUUUGACCUUGCUUUUCAAUGAGGCUCAUUUGCAUAGAAACGCUAUUUGCUUGGCAGCGCAGUUAGGGGAGCAGUUCACCCUUUGUGGGUGCUUUGAGAAUUACACGGUAUCUUUUUGUCAUAUUUAUGCAGGUUUAGCGGCUGCAAAAGCUGCGCAAUCCUUUUGUGAAUUUGCCCCUCAGUGUCUGUAUGUGAAAUGAAUGUUACUUCUAAAUUAACAUUGCCACUAUACAUAAUAGCAGGGUUCAACCAGCACAGGGCCUGUAGAUGUGGCCAUGGUUUGUGCUGUUUGAUUACAGUCAAUUGUGGUCAAAAAAGGUACCUACUGUAGUCAGAUACUGCAUGCGUAGUGUGUGUGUGUGUGUGUGUGCGCGCGUGCGCAUGUAUGUGGUUUGUGCUCAGGAUGGGUGGAGUUGGGUAGGGCUUUUUGCUCCUAUCAUACCCACAAAAGAAUGGGGCCUCUUUACUGAGAAAUUAAAGUGAUAAAGGUCAUAGCAGCAAUGUCACAAAAAGUGUUUGCCAUAAUGCAUUGUCUGUAGAAUGAAAGCAGAAUGAACUAGAGGGAAUUCCAAGCUAGAGCAUGUUGCAGCCAUGGAUAAUUUGGGUGUCAGGUGUCUGACCAAGAGUCUGUUUAUCUCAUACAAUGCUGCACUCUUUAGAGUUCCUCCAAAAGGAAAAAUAUUCAACGUUUGUUUCAGCAAAUACAAUGUUUCAGCAGCACAGGUGAAGAGUUAGCAAACACCCCAUCAUUUGGUGCUAAUUGACUUAAAACAUACACACACACAAUGAUAUUGACAGAAGAUAUUACCAGCAUAACUGUUAAACAGACACUCAAGCAUUUCUGAUUGAUGUUACAUAAAUUACAUAAGAUAGAGGUAUUAAACUUUAAACAAACUACAGUUUGAGCCUUUACAUGCUGGCACUCAUAGACUGCGUACACAUUAAAAACGCGAAAUUUGAAAAUGCAGUUUAUGUGUGAAAAUGACGUCCACAUUAGUGUUUUCAGGUUGUUUUCAUAGAGAUCUCGGUCUACAAUUAAUCACCUAUCAAUAUACAAAUGGCUAAAUCCUUUUUUUUUCAUGCUCUGUUGGUUGGCAAUCAACAAAACUGUACAUCACAGCCAACAUCUGCAUGUGAGUGGGUCGGUAACAUUUUUUGCCCGUCAGGUGUGUCCAUUAGUCUGCUCUCUGUGUAGUCCUGUCUGUGAGAGUGGACCCAGCCGUGCAGUGUGGUGUUGUGUUUGUUGUCAUGGCACAGAGGUGAUCCCUCAUGUCUAUCUCAGUGAGCAGCUGUCACUCCCUGCACCUCUGCUGUUGUUGUUGUCUUGAUGAGGUACUUUCCCUCCCUCACACUUCCUCCCACAGGACCCUUUGUUUAUGACUGUGUGUGUGUGUGUGUGUGUGUAUAUGUCUAAUACAUUUUGGCAGAUGUAUCUGAUGUGGGCCCGCGGAUUCUCAGAAUAUGAUUUAAACCGAAUGUACCUUCACUACUGGUGAUGGGCACACAUAGACGGAGACAUGACACAUUUGUAUUACUUUUUCCUCUUGCACAAAUGCAUAUUCAUGUUGCUCAUCUGGCUUCCCUCGGCUUCCACUGCCAUAAUGUCCACUGUACAAGCGCGUGGACGUCCGUCAGGGGUCAAAUCAAGCUUUUCUUCGGGAAGACCGGAAAGGAAUAAGACUCUGGGAGGAAUUGGGAAUCCCCUGCUAACGGCUUCUUUGAUAAAAGAAAGGUAGAGUGCUGCACCCAGCAGAUGGUACGUGGUGAGUAGGAUAAGGGCUGAACAUGACAGAUGUUAUUAACUCAUGUUCUGCAAAAUAAAAGAGGCUUUAAACAUUUAUUAGAGUGGCAUGAAUUCUUGGUAAAACUGAACAUUUGAACAUGUAUGAUGUGAAAUAUAACACUGACAUUAAUAAAUCAGAUUACUUGUCCCCGAAUAUGAUACUCUUUUUCUGUAUUCCCACUAGUGGUCAAUUCCAGAACAAAAUGACAACCUUGUGUUUCCGAGCUUCAUGUUGACUAUAAACAAUGUUUUGUUUCUAAAAGCAACAUAUUCAUAAUCAUUAAAUGUUAUUCUGUGAGUCACGUGAGUGUAACUGCAUCCAGCAAUAAAUAUUUGUAAUGAGAAGGAAUAAGUUGGUUAUUAUUUUGAAGUGCAUCCACUCUGAAAUGGGACCUCUAAUGUUGGCACCACUGCAAUGAAGUUGUGAAGUCGUGGUAUAGACACACAUGUUCACAAACCAACACAUAAAGAGUCUCUAUAUCCAUCUGUUUUCUCUGCUUUUUUUCUCCUUCUCGACUCGACAAUCCCACAGCUUCUUAUCUCUCUGCACGGCUGUGCUCCUACCACCCUGAAUCCUGCCCCCCCUCCCCACACUCUCCACAUCCUCACACAUGCACCCCCUCCCUUUUUUUUUUUUUUUGAUGAGCUACCCCAAUGUUGCAUCCAGAUAACUACACAGUGAAGCCUGAAGCCUGUGGUUUUGUGUGUGUGUGUGUGUGUGCGUGUGUGUGCGUGAACCAAUUUUCAAAGUGUGCAUAAUAUUCCAAAUUCCACUGUUAGUGUAAGACAUGAAUAAAAAGAUUUGAAUUGAAAAA